rnacentral:rRNA from 1 species
UUCGAUUAAACCAUGCGAGUCUAAGGGGUACUUGUACCCCUGGCAUAAUGCUCAGUAACACGUGGAUAAUCUACCCUCAGGUGGGGCAUAAACCCGGGAAACUGGGGCUAAUUCCCCAUAGACGCAGAUAACUGGAAUGUUUUUGUGUUCAAAGCUCCGGCGCCUGAGGAUGAGUCUGCGGCCUAUCAGGUUGUAGUCAGGGUCAUGACCUGACUAGCCAGCGACGGGUACGGGGUGUGAGAGCACUCGCCCGGAGAUGGUUUCUGAGACACGAAACCAGGCCCUACGGGGCGCAGCAGGUGCGAAAACUUCGCAAUGCGGGAAACCGUGACGAGGGAACUCCAAGUGUCUAUGCAUUGCAUAGACUGUUUUUUAGCCUAAAUAGCUAUUAGAGUAAGGGGUGGGUAAGACCGGUGCCAGCCGCCGCGGUAACACCGGUACCCCAAGUGGUAGCCACUAUUAUUGGGCCUAAAGCGUUCGUAGCCGGUUUGGUAAAUUCUUGGGUAAAUCGUACCGCUUAACGGUGCGGAUUCUGGGGACACUACCAGACUUGAGACCGGGAGAGAUUAGAGGUACUUGCGGGGGAGCGGUGAAAUGUUGUAAUCCCGCAGGGACCACCAGUGGCGAAGGCGUCUAAUCAUAACGGCUCUGACGGUGAGGAACGAAACCCUGGGGCGCAAACGGGAUUAGAUACCCCGGUAGUCCAGGGCGUAAACGCUGCUGACUUGGUGUUGGAGAUCCUACGAGGGUGUCCAGUGCUGGCGCGAAGGUAUUAAGACAGCCGCCUGGGGAGUACGGUCGCAAGACUGAAACUUAAAGGAAUUGGCGGGGGAGCACUGCAACGUGUGGAGCGUGCG